ensembl:snoRNA
AUCCUUCUGUAGUUCAUAAGCAUGAUGAUUGGGUUUUCACACACACACGAGAUGUGCCUCUCUCCAACCCUGUUAUGAAGUGGGCACCAUUACUCAUCUUAUG